GACGAACGCUGGCGGCGUGCUUAACACAUGUAAGUCGAACGGAAAGGCCCUGCUUUUGUGGGGUGCUCGAGUGGCGAACGGGUGAGUAACACGUGAGUAACCUGCCCUUGACUUUGGGAUAACUUCAGGAAACUGGGGCUAAUACCGGAUAGGAGCUCCUGCUGCAUGGUGGGGGUUGGAAAGUUUCGGCGGUUGGGGAUGGACUCGCGGCUUAUCAGCUUGUUGGUGGGGUAGUGGCUUACCAAGGCUUUGACGGGUAGCCGGCCUGAGAGGGUGACCGGCCACAUUGGGACUGAGAUACGGCCCAGACUCCUACGGGAGGCAGCAGUGGGGAAUAUUGCACAAUGGGCGGAAUCCUGAUGCAGCAACGCCGCGUGCGGGAUGACGGCCUUCGGGUUGUAAACCGCUUUCGCCUGUGACGAAGCGUGAGUGACGGUAAUGGGUAAAGAAGCACCGGCUAACUACGUG
rnacentral:rRNA from 1 species